rnacentral:rRNA from 1 species
UACAGAGGGUGCGAGCGUUGUUCGGAAUUACUGGGCGUAAAGAGCUCGUAGGUGGUUUGUCGCGUUGUUCGUGAAAACUCACAGCUCAACUGUGGGCGUGCGGGCGAUACGGGCAGACUGGAGUACUGCAGGGGAGACUGGAAUUCCUGGUGUAGCGGUGGAAUGCGCAGAUAUCAGGAGGAACACCGGUGGCGAAGGCGGGUCUCUGGGCAGUAACUGACGCUGGAGGAGCGAAAGCGUGGGGAGCGAACAGG